rnacentral:rRNA from 1 species
UGAUCCUAUGCUGCCGAGAAAAGCCUCUAGUGAGUGUUGUGGCGGCCCGUACCCUAAACCGACUCAGGUGGUCAGGUAGAGAAUACCAAGGCGAUCGGGUGAACUGUGGUUAAGGAACUCGGCAAAUUGCCCCCGUAACUUCGGGAGAAGGGGGACCUCUGUUGGUGAUGGGCUUUACGCCUGGAGCUGGUGGGGGUCGCAGUGGCCAGGGGGAAGCGACUGUUUACUAAAAACACAGGUCCGUGCGAAGUCGUAAGACGAUGUAUACGGACUGACGCCUGCCCGGUGCCGGAACGUUAAGGGGACCGCUUAGCUGACGUGAGUUGGCGAAGGUGAGAACUUAAGCGCCGGUAAACGGCGGUGGUAACUAUAACCAUCCUAAGGUAGCGAAAUUCCUUGUCGGGUAAGUUCCGACCUGCACGAAUGGCGUAACGACUUCCCCGCUGUCUCAACCGCAGACCCGGCGAAAUUGCACUACGAGUAAAGAUGCUCGUUUCGCGCAGCAGGACGGAAAGACCCCGGGACCUUCACUACAGCUUGACAUUGGCGUUUGGAACGUCUUGUGUAGGAUAGGUGGGAGACUGGGAAGCUGUCACGCUAGUGAUGGUGGAGUCAUUGGUGAAAUACCACUCUGGUCGUUUUGAACGUCUAACUCUGGUCCGUGAUCCGGAUCGUGGACAGUGUCUGGUGGGUAGUUUAACUGGGGCGGUUGCCUCCUAAAGAGUAACGGAGGCGCCCAAAGGUUCCCUCAGCCUGGUUGGCAAUCAGGUGUUGAGUGUAAGUGCACAAGGGAGCUUGACUGUGAGACUGACAGGUCGAGCAGGAGCGAAAGCUGGGACUAGUGAUCCGGCAUCGGCGUGUGGAAGCGGUGUCGCUCAACGGCUAAAAGGUACCCCGGGGAUAACAGGCUGAUCUUCCCCAAGAGUCCAUAUCGACGGGAUGUUUGGCACCUCGAUGUCGGCUCGUCGCAUCCUGGGGCUGGAGUAGGUCCCAAGGGUUGGGCUGUUCGCCCAUUAAAGCGGUACGCGAGCUGGGUUUAGAACGUCGCGAGACAGUUCGGUCCCUAUCCGCUGCGCGCGCAGGAGACUUGAAGGGGGCUGUCCCUAGUACGAGAGGACCGGGACGGACGAACCUCUGGUGUGCCAGUUGUACCGCCAGGUGCACGGCUGGUUGGCUACGUUCGGAAGGGAUAACCGCUGAAAGCAUCUAAGCGGGAAGCUCGCCUUGAGAUGAGGUCUCCCACCACGAGAGUGGGUAAGGCUCCCGGUAGACGACCGGGUUGAUAGGCCGGAGGUGGAAGCACGGUAACGUGUGGAGCUGACCGGUACUAAUAGGCCGAGGACUUGACCG